CCUACGGGAGGCAGCAGUGGGGAAUAUUGCACAAUGGGCGCAAGCCUGAUGCAGCCAUGCCGCGUGUAGGAUGAAGGCCCUAGGGUUGGAAAGUACUUUCAGCGGGGAGGAAGGGAGUAAAGUUAAUACCGUUACUCAAGGACGUUACGCGCAGAAGAAGCACAGGCUAACUCCGUGAGAGCAGCCGCGGUAAUACGGACGGUGCAAGCGUUAAUCGGAUUUACUGGGCGGAAAGCGCGCGCAGGCGGUUUGUUAAGUGAGAUGUGAAAUCCCCGGGCUCAACCUGGGAACUGCAGCUGAUACUGGCAAGCUUGAGUCCCGUAGAGGGAUGUAGAAUUCGAGGUGUAGCGGUGAAAUGCGUAGAGAUCUGGAAGAAUACCGGUGGCGAAGGCAGCCCCCUGGACGAAUACUGACGCUCAGGUGCGAAGGCGUGGGGAUCGAACAGGAUUAGAUACCCGAGUAGUC
rnacentral:rRNA from 1 species